AUUGAACGCUGGCGGCAUGCUUUACACAUGCAAGUCGAACGGCAGCGCGGGCUUCGGCCUGGCGGCGAGUGGCGAACGGGUGAGUAAUGCAUCGGAACGUGCCCAGUAGUGGGGGAUAGCCCGGCGAAAGCCGGAUUAAUACCGCAUACGACCUGAGGGUGAAAGCGGGGGACCGAAAGGCCUCGCGCUAUUGGAGCGGCCGAUGUCGGAUUAGCUAGUUGGUGGGGUAAAGGCUUACCAAGGCGACGAUCCGUAGCUGGUCUGAGAGGACGACCAGCCACACUGGGACUGAGACACGGCCCAGACUCCUACGGGAGGCAGCAGUGGGGAAUUUUGGACAAUGGGGGCAACCCUGAUCCGGCGAUGCCGCGUGCGGGAAGAAGGCCUUCGGGUUGUAAACCGCUUUUGUUCGGGAAGAAAUCCUCUGGGCUAAUACCCCGGGGGGAUGACGGUACCGGAAGAAUAAGCACCGGCUAACUACGUG
rnacentral:rRNA from 1 species